AUGAGGUGGUCGUCCAGUGUGUCAACGAGCGGCUCUCCGCCCUCGGCAACUGCGUCGUGGGUGGAGAGGUGGUCGAUCACGAUAGCGGCGAUGCCAGGGGAGAUCCCUAAUUUGAAAAUGUUGGCGCUCUUCGGAUGCGGAGGUGUCCUCCUCAGGGGGGCUAGUUGCACAGUGAAUGAUCUUCUCGACCGCGACAUCGAUAACAAGGAGCUGGAGGAAAAGAGGAAGGAGAAGGCCAAGAUCUCUUAUGACAGGAGAAAGCAACUGGCGAAGCUCUGCGUCAAGGCGAGAAGGCAGCUGAAGAGAAGUUAG
rnacentral:rRNA from 1 species